rnacentral:rRNA from 1 species
UGCAAGUCGAGCGGGCAUCCUCGUGGUGUCAGCGGCAGACGGGUGAGUAACGCGUGGGAACGUGCCCUUCGGUUCGGAAUAACUCAGGGAAACUUGAGCUAAUACCGGAUACGCCCUUUUGGGGAAAGGUUUACUGCCGAAGGAUCGGCCCGCGUCUGAUUAGCUAGUUGGUGAGGUUACGGCUCACCAAGGCGACGAUCAGUAGCUGGUCUGAGAGGAUGAUCAGCCACACUGGGACUGAGACACGGCCCAGACUCCUACGGGAGGCAGCAGUGGGGAAUAUUGGACAAUGGGGGCAACCCUGAUCCAGCCAUGCCGCGUGAGUGAUGACGGCCUUAGGGUUGUAAAGCUCUUUUCUCCGGGACGAUAAUGACGGUACCGGAGGAAUAAGCCCCGGCUAACUUCGUGCCAGCAGCCGCGGUAAUACGAAGGGGGCUAGCGUUGCUCGGAAUCACUGGGCGUAAAGGGCGCGUAGGCGGCUGAUUUAGUCGAGGGUGAAAGCCCGUGGCUCAACCACGGAAUGGCCUUCGAUACUGAUUGGCUUGAGACCGGAAGAGGACAGCGGAACUGCGAGUGUAGAGGUGAAAUUCGUAGAUAUUCGCAAGAACACCAGUGGCGAAGGCGGCUGUCUG